rnacentral:rRNA from 1 species
CCUACGGGUGGCAGCAGUGGGGCAUUUUGCGCACUGAGCGAAAGCCUGACGCAGCGACGCCGCGUGAGGGAUGAAGGUCUUCGGAUCGUAAACCUCUGUCAGCAGGGAAGAACCGUCACUGUGCUAAUCAGCAGUGAAUUGACGGUACCUGCAAAGGAAGCACCGGCUACCUCCGUGCCCUCAGACACGGUAAUACGGAGGGUGCGGGCGUUAAUCGGAAUUACUGGGCGUAAAGCGCUCGUAGGCGGUAUGUCAAGUCAAGGGUGAAAUGCCCGCGCUCACCGUGGGAACUGCCUUUGAAACUGGCAAACUGGAGUGUGUGAGAGGAUAGUGGAAUUCCAGGUGGAGGAGUGAAAUCCGUAGAUAUCUGGAGGAACAUCAGUGGCGAAGGCGACUAUCUGGCACAUAACUGACGCUGAGGAGCGAAAGCGUGGGUAGCAAACAGGAUUAGAUACCCCUGUAGUC